AACGAACGCUGGCGGCAUGCCUAAUACAUGCAAGUCGAACGGUGUCUUCGGACAUAGUGGCGCACGGGUGCGUAACACGUAUGCAACCUACCUUACAUUGGGGGAUAGCCUUUCGAAAGGGAGAUUAAUACCGCAUAAGACAGUAGCUGGGCAUCCAGCAGCUGUUAAAGAUUUAUCGAUGUAAGCUGGGCAUGCGUCCAAUUAGCUAGUUGGUGAGGUAACGGCUCACCAAGGCAAUGAUUGGUAGGGGAACUGAGAGGUCAAUCCCCCACACUGGCACUGAGAUACGGGCCAGACUCCUACGGGAGGCAGCAGUAGGGAAUAUUGGGCAAUGGACGCAAGUCUGACCCAGCCAUGCCGCGUGCAGGAUGAAGGCGUUAUGCGUUGUAAACUGCUUUUAUACAGGAAGAAACGACUCUUGCGAGAGGCAUUGACGGUACUGUAUGAAUAAGCACCGGCUAACUCCGUGCCAGCCGCCGCGGUAAAAC
rnacentral:rRNA from 1 species